rnacentral:misc_RNA from 1 species
GGAACAACAACAUUUAACUCAAUCAUUGUGCAACAUUCAACGUACCAUUAAACUCGUAUUUGUGUUAGUAACAAUACAAGGAAGUCAUGCAAAAACUGACGUUGUUAACUUUAUUUGUGGUGGCUAUAAUGGCUCAAGCAGAAGACAAGAAACCCCAAUACGAUUUGACAGAUGGACCAGCUCUGUUUGCAAAGUUUAUCAAAGAUUUCAACAAGGUAUACGAGGAUGAAGCCGACAAAGAGGUCCACUACCAAGAGUUUCUCAAAUCAUUAGAGGUCAUAAACAAAGCGAAUGCUGCAAACUCCGGUGCAACGUUCGAUAUCAAUGCACUUGCUGAUUAUACUCCUGAGCAGAGGAAGAAUUUACACGGACUCAGGCGAAAUAAUUAAAGGUAAAUUAGCGUUAAAGAAAUAUCCAGCGAAAAUGUAUUUUAAAAUAUAAUAAUUUUUUAAAACAAUU